rnacentral:rRNA from 1 species
GAUGAACGCUGGCGGCGUGCCUAAUACAUGCAAGUCGAACGGAUAGCGAAAGCUGCUUUCGCCUUUCAGGGGAGUGGCGAGGGGGGUAGUAACACGGUAACAAGCUCCCUCAAGUCGGGGGAUAACAUUUAAAAACAGAUGCUACUACCUAAUAGAACUUAGUGCCUCAUGACACAAAGUUAGAAGCCGCUUCGGCGUCACGUAGAGAUGGAUCCGGGGUGCAUUAGUUAGUUGUGGGGGUAAAGGCCUACCAAGACGAUGAGGCAUAGCCGAGUUGAGAGACUGAUCGGCCACAUUGGGACUGAGACACGGCCAUAACUCCUGCGGGAGGCUGCAGUAGGGAAUCUUCCACAGUGGGCGAAAGCAUGAUGGAGCAACGCCGAGUGUGUGAUGAAGGCUUUCGGGUCGUAAAGCACUGUUGUAUGGGAAGAACAGCUAGAAUAGGAAAUGAUGCUAGUUUGACGGUAACAUAUCAGAAAGCGACGGCUAAAUACGUG